UCUACUCACCUGUUCAAGGCUGUCUCAGCCUUGUUCGUUAAUAUACAUAGCCUUUGCUCACUGGCCGACUUCAAAGCUACCUCCACAUUUUCAGGCAUAAUCCUGCAGUAGACCUCUUCCAUUCAUAAUUGUGUCAGCAUUUACUGUUGUGGACGAUAUAACACAACAGUCUCAGAAGUGGGAUUUGAGGACCGCAUCACUUAUCACUUUGCCGACAAAACCCUCAUUACAGGGAGUUUGUGAGACACGGGUAUCUAGAGACAUGAGGAGUCACCAUGUAAGUAGGAACAAUUCACCCUGAUCUGCAGAAGGAGCCAUUGUUUACUUGCUGUUAAACAAUGGAGGAACAGUCACACUAAUAGGAUGACCAUAUAUGAAUCCAGUCGCUAUGGCAGCUUCCUCUAGAACAUUACUUGGACCAGUACUGUGAAAAUCAGAAUCUAUAAUUAUUUUGGUAUGUGCUUUGUGGUGAAACAGCAUCUCCUCCACCCCCA